AGAAUCAACGCUGGCGGCGUGCCUAACACAUGCAAGUCGAACGAGAAAGUUGGAGCAAUCCAUGAGUAAAGUGGCGCACGGGUGAGUAACACGUGACUAACCUACCCUCGAGUGGGGAAUAACCUCGGGAAACCGGGGCUAACACCGCAUAACAUCUACGGAUCAAAUGCGUAAGCAGCUUGAGGAGGGGGUCGCGGCUGAUUAGCUAGUUGGCGGGGUAAUGGCCCACCAAGGCAGUGAUCAGUA
rnacentral:rRNA from 1 species